UACGAAGGGGGCUAGCGUUGUUCGGAAUUACUGGGCGUAAAGCGCGCGCAGGUGGUCUUUCAAGUCAGUGGUGAAAGCCCGGAGCUCAACUCCGGAAAUGCCAUUGAAACUGUGAGACUUGAGGACGAGAGAGGUGAGUGGAAUUCCCAGUGUAGAGGUGAAAUGCGCAGAUAUCGGGAAGAACACCCGUGGCGAAGGCGGCUCUCUGGGACGGUACUGACGCUGAGACGCGAAAGCGUGGGGAGCGAACAGG
rnacentral:rRNA from 1 species